GCUCUGAUAGUUUAACUAAAACAUUGGUCUUGUAAACCAAAAAGGAGAAACUCUCUCUCCGAGCU
rnacentral:tRNA from 1 species